rnacentral:rRNA from 1 species
GAUGAACGCUGGCGGCGUGCCUAAUACAUACAAGUCGAGCGAACGGACGAGAAGCUUGCUUUUCUGAUGUUAGCGGCGGACGGGUGAGUAACACGUGGAUAACCUACCUAUAAGACUGGGAUAACUUCGGGAAACCGGAGCUAAUACCGGAUAAUAUUUUGAACCGCAUGGUUCAAAAGUGAAAGACGGUCUUGCUGUCACUUAUAGAUGGAUCCGCGCUGCAUUAGCUAGUUGGUAAGGUAACGGCUUACCAAGGCAACGAUGCAUAGCCGACCUGAGAGGGUGAUCGGCCACACUGGAACUGAGACACGGUCCAGACUCCUACGGGAGGCAGCAGUAGGGAAUCUUCCGCAAAGGGCGAAAGCCUGACGGAGCAACGCCGCGUGAGUGAUGAAGGUCUUCGGAUCGUAAAACUCUGUUAUUAGGGAAGAACAUAUGUGUAAGUAACUGUGCACAUCUUGACGGUACCUAAUCAGAAAGCCACGGCUAACUACGUG